rnacentral:rRNA from 1 species
GAUGAACGCUGGCGGCGUGCCUAAUACAUGCAAGUCGAGCGAACAGACGAGGAGCUUGCUCCUCUGACGUUAGCGGCGGACGGGUGAGUAACACGUGGAUAACCUACCUAUAAGACUGGGAUAACUUCGGGAAACCGGAGCUAAUACCGGAUAAUAUAUUGAACCGCAUGGUUCAAUAGUGAAAGACGGUUUUGCUGUCACUUAUAGAUGGAUCCGCGCCGCAUUAGCUAGUUGGUAAGGUAACGGCUUACCAAGGCAACGAUGCGUAGCCGACCUGAGAGGGUGAUCCGCCACACUGGAACUUAGAAACGGUCCAGACUCCUACGGGAGGCAGCAGUAGGGAAUCUUCCGCAAUGGGCGAAAGCCUGACGGAGCAACGCCGCGUGAGUGAUGAAGGUCUUCGGAUCGUAAAACUCUGUUAUUAGGGAAGAACAAAUGUGUAAGUAACUAUGCACGUCUUGACGGUACCUAAUCAGAAAGCCACGGCUAACUACGUG